GAGAGUUUCACGCGCGGAUAAAACAUUCUUCCUCAGUGGAGAGCAAGUGAAAUGCGGACCCACAGCGGCUUGAAAAUUAAGGCUUGAAUCCCCCCGAAGGAAGCCAAAACAAAAGCUUGUGGGUGUCUAAAACUGAUGUCACCAGUACCUCUUAUUUCAAUCCCUGACCUCCAACCACCUCCAUUCUGCAAAGAUAUAUGGGUUCGGACCAACAUGAGGAAUGACCACAUAAUGUUCAUUUUUGGGUGAAUGGGCUCAGCCAGGAUAGCAAGAAGCUGUUAUCUGGGUGGAGUCCUGUGCUUUCUCCAUUAACCAUUAAAGGAAGCAUCUCUGAACUGUAACGCCCUGAGAAGGUAAGUGAAAAGGGAAUGGAAGCUUCCCAAUGGGAGAACCUUUGGCAGUAGACUAAUCUUUUAAGGCCAAACCACUGUAAGCAUCUUCUUAUUGCUACCCCCACCCAGCCAUACUGGGCUGCAGGUUCCACUAAGCUAACUGGCUGAACUGGUGUCCAUUUCCUCUGGACACAGAGACAUGCAUGUUUUUGCCAGAUUAUAGAUUGAUAUUUCUGUAAUCAUGUGAAAUAGUCAGAGUAUCAUCCAAUUAUCUUCUCUCGUGAACUGUUGGAUACAAACAGAAGAGGCCCUGUGGUUUUUUCUCCAAUAUUUGUGUGAAAAAACAGUGCAGAUUGCCUUAUGUUAAUGCAAUUGCAACUGUGCAACCUCAAUUUCCACUAUUUAUUUGCUAUUAUAUAGUUAUUGCUUCAGUCCUUAAAUGUGAAACAUGUAAUUUCUAUGCGUCAUCCUACCAAUGGAUACUUAGUUUUCUCCACAUAUUAAACUAAUACAAUUUUUUACAUUGAAACCUUGAAAAAUUACACAUUGCACUUCAAGAAAGUGACAUUUCAUGGCCAUUGUGCAUGUGACCACCAAAACAGGUUAAAAUUUAUGAUUUAGAUUUUUCGGUGUACAUUUGCCCAAACUGCUAACCAUAAAGCAUUGAUUGUGUUGAGCCAUGGGUUUAUAUGAUAGUAAACUUGAAAGCAUGACUACUGACCUGUGAGUUUUACAGUCUGUUUUUAGCACAUGUUCCGAUGUUUAGAGCAUUAGAUUUGCUCACAAAGCAGUCUCUGUAUCGUGAACAUUCCAAAUUACACAUAUCAUCAAUUCCCGUCAUGCCCUAUAUUUCUUAAUGACAAUCAUCAUGCAUAAAUCCUGUACUGUGUCCCACAAAGAAUGUUUGUAAAGACAUUUACAAUGGCCUCUUUAGAUAUCUCAAUUAGUACUGACUCCAGGGUGAUUUUUCACAGUUUAGAGCCCUAAAAUAGUUCACCUCAAACAUUCUGUCAUCAUGAGCCCACCUUCACGUUCUUUUUUUUUUAAACCUGCAUGACUUUCUUUCUUCUGCAGAAUAUAAAAGGAAAAAUUCUGAAGAAUGCCCUGGUUAAUUUUCUAAUUUUCUGUGCUCCUUUUGCAUCCUUUUUUAAACUGGAAAGCGUAAGUCCCUCUUCAGUGUAAUUGCAUUCAAAUGGUCAUGCCAUGACACAAGGGUAAGUAAAUGAUGACAUACAAUACUUUUCAUUUUUAGGUGAACUAUCCCUUUAAUGCACAGUCACAAUUUCAUAUAAUGAUGAAUCAGUUUGUGGUCAAGUUCAUGAGGAAACAGAACCAGCUUCUCAAAAACUGCAUCUUGCGCUUGCAUAAACAUUUUCUCAAUUACUGUACAGGCCACUUCUUGUGUCAAACACUGUCAAUGGAAAGUCACAAAGAUUUAAACAAAAUGCAUACUAAAAUGGUGUAAUUCUGCCUGUCCUUCAGACGACCGUCUCUCAAGACAAACAAGAAAAUCAGAUCAUGUGGUCAGGUAAAGGAUUCCAAUGUUUUAUCAAAUCAUUGUGGCACAAGUAAGUGUCUUUGAAAGCUAAACAUGCCCCUUCUUUGCUUUGUUUUUUGUUUUGACCUGACCGACACAGUAAUUCAGAGAUAAAUUUCAUUGUGUACUAAAUAGUGAAAUGCUUCCUGCAUCAGUGAUAGUGUCUCUGGUCUGCAAACUAUUUUUGACUGUGAGGGAGCACAUUGCUCUGGGUUUAGAUGGAUCAUUAGGAACCCAGUCAAUAUCAUUGCUGAAGGAUACUUGUCUAAAGAAUUCAGAAAUGCAGUUUCUUCAGAAGUGCGACAGGACGUGUUCAUACUGCAUUGUCUUCUAAAUGGACGGCUGUGUAUUUUACUCCUUUCAGAUUGAUUCUUUCACUCACAAUCAGCUAAAUGGGAAGGUGGUAUGCAUAAACUGCUCAUGUGGGACAUAUGGCAAUGUUCUGAAUGUCAAAAGUUCCAGUACAGCUUACCUCUGCUAUGUUUCCUGCACUGCUCGAGGGCUUUACAAGACCAUUACAUGCCCACUUAAAGCAAAUAACGUCCAUGCAGAUACACAGUGUUCAGUCGCACGAAACCACCCGGUAUGUGGGGAGCAGAACUUCUUUGCCCUAGGCCCUGUCUCACCCAUAAUGACCUUCAAUUUCUUGGUUCCCAGGAAGUUAGAGGCACUUUAUUUGGCUAAUGUUUUACCCGUUCCAUCACAAGCUCCUGUGGAUCAGAGCACCAGACUGUGUUGAGCAAAGUUUAAUGUUACGUAAAGCUUUUAAUCUGUGCAAAGAUCUUGGAAGAUGGCACGUGCAAGUGACAGGUGUGGUACACUUGGGUUUAUUUUUAUUUUUUUUCACAGUCAUGUUAGUUAAAUCACAAAGAUUAAAGAGGAAUUGAGAUGAGGACUAAGCUGUCACCUUGUAAGGACUUUUCCGCAUUACAAUACGCAUAAAGUGCUACUUUAUUUCUAGCAUGAGUACUGUGUUAGCCAAGCUCCAUUAAUCUUUGCCCCGAAGCACACGUCACAGAGAUGUUGACAUGUUUAAUGUCCCUGGAAUACGUGACAACAGCACAUUGUAAGUUUAAGAUUAAUCAAAACAAAUUAGCAUGGAAUAUUUAUGCAACAUUGAUUUUUGUGAUGUGUCAGCUGUUUAGACGUUCCAAGAAAAUUCCCUUAGACAUACAAGUUGAGCAGCAUGCAUUAGCGCUUGUAACAAACUCUUAAUGACUCAUUUCAUACAUCACUAAUUAUGUUCGACAAAUAAUAUUUGUGGUUAAUUUAUAACAUGUAAAUCUAUUUUUAAGUAUGAAAUGCAGUAGUAUACUUCUGUUUUCAUACUGUAUUCGUACUUAUGGAUCAUUUGAGUCCAUUGUUUUCUUAGAUUACAGCAUGUUCUCUAAGACACUCUUUUGCGCUCCCAUUUUAAAGCUUGAAACUUGUCCUCCCUAAAGCAGCUCGAGUGUCACCCAUAUCCUGACUCAGCCCUUCCUCUAACGCCUUAAAAACUUAGCAGAAUAGGUUUAUCGCUUCUUACAUGCCUCUUUUCUGAUCUGUGUCUGACAGCAACAGGAAACAAGGAAUACCAUUCACUUUUGGGGGGAGGAUUUGGGAGGCGGAUGACUGAUCUUUAGGACUAGACUCAAAUUGUUGUCCACCCCGUGUCCUUUAAAAAACCACCCAUGCAAACUUAACACUUAAGACUCUGGAUCUGCGUAAUUUAGGUUUACAAUAAUUUUAAUUUAAGUAAUUUGUCAUGAUCUACAAGCAUUGUUCUCACAAAUACUGUUACUUCUUCUCACAGGAUAGCUGUGAUUUGCCAUUUCUGGUGAAUAAAUAAACAGACUGAGAAUGUGGA